rnacentral:rRNA from 1 species
UACGUAGGGGGCUAGCGUUGUCCGGAAUCAUUGGGCGUAAAGAGCGCGUAGGCGGCCAGAUAAGUCCGGUGUGAAAGUCAAAGGCUCAACCUUUGAAUGCCGCUGGAAACUGUCUGGCUAGAGUCCGGGAGGGGCGAGUGGAAUUCCUGGUGUAGCGGUGAAAUGCGCAGAUAUCAGGAGGAACACCAGUGGCGAAGGCGGCUCACUGGCCCGAUACUGACGCUGAGGCACGAAAGCGUGGGGAGCAAACAGG